rnacentral:rRNA from 1 species
AUUGAACGCUGGCGGCAGGUCUAACACAUGCAAGUCGAACGAGUGGCGGACGGGUGAGUAAUGUCUGGGAAACUGCCUGAUGGAGGGGGAUAACUACUGGAAACGGUAGCUAAUACCGCAUACCAUCAGAUGUGCCCAGAUGGGAUUAGCUUGUUGGUGGGGUAACGGCUCACCAAGGCGACGAUCCCUAGCUGGUCUGAGAGGAUGACCAGCAACACUGGAACUGAGACAAGGUCCAGACGCCUACGGGGGGCAGCAGUGGGGAAUAUUGCACAAGGGGCGAAAGCCUGAUGCAGAAAGGUCGAGGGUAUGAAGAAGGCCUUAGGGUUGUAAAGUACUUUCAGCGGGGAGGCGGUACUCGCAGAAGAAGCACCGGCUAACUCCGUGCCAGCAGCCGCGGUAAUUC